GACGAACGCUGGCGGCAUGCCUAAUACAUGCAAGUCGAACGCUUUAAUUUCACCGGGUGCUUGCACCCAUCGAAGUUAAGGAGUGGCGGACGGGUGAGUAACACGUGGGUAACCUGCCCUAUAAGAGGGGGAUAACAUUCGGAAACGGGUGCUAAUACCGCAUAGUUUCUUUUUCCGCCUGGAAGAAGAAGGAAAGAUGGCCUUUGCGCUAUCACUGAGGGAUGGACCCGCGGCGUAUUAGUUAGUUGGUGGGGUAAUGGCCUACCAAGACGAUGAUACGUAGCCGACCUGAGAGGGUGAUCGGCCACAUUGGGACUGAGACACGGCCCAA
rnacentral:rRNA from 1 species